ensembl:lncRNA
UAGGAAAAGGCCCAAAUUUAUGAGGAAAAAAGAUAUCCUUGCUUCAUCUGAAGACAGGAGGGAACUGUUUUUCCUUCUCUUCACAGCAAAUCGUUGCAGGGAAGAGCUGGAGACGCUGAAGCUUCCCGAUUUCCUCCCCCUCUUGGAACUACGGACAAUAAGGACAACCCAGCCCUGUCCUGAGGGAUUUUUUGACCAUCGAGGGAGGCACAAGGCAAUGUGCGGAACUUGAAAAAGUGGCACAAGUUUCUCAGCCCGCUUCCUGUUUGCAAAGUCAGUCCUGACUCCAUUUAUGAAAACCAAGUAUUAGGGCCUCCCUGGCUACGGAAGGGUCAGCUGGCGCCAAACUCCCCUCGGAGACUCAGAAGAUUCCUUAAGGGAGCAGCAAGAAUUUCCACCGCGACUAUUUGGACGGACAGAAACUGAUCAUGAGAAACGUGCGGAAAGCCACUGCCUACACCAUGCGCAAGCCACGCCCCCUUCGAGGCCUGGAACUACAAAUCCCGUCCUGCCACGCGCUGGGAGCCCCGCGCUUCGGGGCGCUAGUUGAGAAUCAAAUGCCAGGGGUUCUGGGCAGGAUCUGGAAUCCCUCUGAGGUGGAUGUGAAGCAGUAGUGAGUUUGGAGGGUUGAGACUGGGCCGGAGUGUUCCAGAAGGGUUCAGAACCCGAGAAGCUUUCUUUUUUCCCCUUCGGUACUGGGGUUUGAACUCAGGGCCUUCACCUUGAGCCACUCCGCCAGCCCUUUUUUGUGAUGAGUAUUUUCAAGAUAGGUUCUCACGAACUAUUUACUGGGGCUGGCUUUGAACCACGAUCCUCCUGAUCUCUGCCUCCUGAGUAUCUAGGAUUACAGGCAUGAGCCACUAGGCCCCGCUCCCAGAAGCUUUCUGAUUAAUCUUGGGCCCCAGAUAAAGAUUAUUUAUGAGAGGCAGAGGCAAGGUUGAGAUGCAAGAGACAAAUUACUAAUGCUUGCCCCUCUUUUUUUUUUUUUUUUUUGUAUGUAGCCCAGGUCGGCCUUGAACCUCCUGCCUCCAGUGCUGGGAUUACAGAUGUGCACUACCACGCAGGUCUCACCCCUCCUUUUCCUUUUUGUGUUUUUUUGGUGGCACCAGAGUUUGAACUCAGGGCCUCACACUUGCUAGGCUGUGUUGCUCUAUCACUUGAGCCACUCUGCCAGUUCACCCCUCCUUUUAAUAUGCAAGUUUCCAUACAUCCUCUGCAAGCUUUGAAGAGUUAGGACGUACAAGCAGAACAAGUGGCCAAUGCUACAUGUAUGGCCCAAAUUGUUGACCCUCUUGUGCUCAAAGCCUUUCUGUCCUGCCCAGCUAGACAAUGUGAAUCAGUAUGCAGGAUGAAUUUUCCCCAUCUGUUCCUUCCUUCUUUUUUCCUUCCUCUCCCUCUCCUGUUUUGUUUUUACUUUGGAGACAGUAUUGCCCUUGCUGGCUCCAAACUUGUCUCAAGCGAUCAUCCUGCAGCCUGAAUAGUUGAAGCUGCAGACAUUGAACACCAAACCUUCCUAUUUUUUAAGCAUCUAUUGUCUGUCAAGCAGAUGCCAAAUGUUAUCCCCUGAGAUUCUUACAGUAGUUGUGUGUAUGCAUGGCAAACUUAAUCCAAUUCAACUAGAACCACUCUGCAAAGAGAUACAGGGAGCUGAUGUGUAGGGGUGAAUCAUAGAUGGGAGUCAAAUGUGUCUGUUUACAACAGCCUGAGCAUAUUGCCCUGCACUCCAGCUAAAAGUUCAACAUUUUGGGAAGCUGGGGUGUAGCUCAGUGGUAGAUCACCUGGCUAGCAUGCAGGAGGUCCUGGGUUCCAUCCCAAGCACAACCCCUAAAACAAGACUUCUCCACUCAGUGAAACUAAGAGUUUCAAACUGUAUCAAGAUAGAUUGGAAGGAUCACAGUUAAGAGGCCAAGCCUGGGCAAAUAGUUCGUGAGACCCCAUCUCCAAAAUAAUCAGAACAAAACUAGACUGAAAGUGUGGCUCAAGGGGUAAAAAACCUGCUUAGCAAGCAUCAAGCCCUGAGUUCAAACCCCAGACUCACCAAAAUAAAGAGUCAAUGUUACAAUCA